rnacentral:lncRNA from 1 species
GAAACACACUUUCAUUAAAAACUAAAAAGAAAGGAAGGAAACAGCACAACAAGCUACAACACAACCAAACAUAAAGGAACUAGACUAACAGCUGAAACACCCCUGGGCGCAACACAACACAAGGCCAAACAGACCAAGCACACCAAACAAAAUACCUAAAGGCGACAACAAAAACGUUCUCCUGCUAGUUAGGCAUAGAAAAACAAUACAUGUACUGUGAAGAAUCAAUUAUUUCAUGUAGAUUUAGGGUCUAGGUACGG